UUGAAGUUAUUAAUUGGGUUUAAAAUCAACGGUUCAUACUGGAGUUGUAAUAUAAUGUAGGGAUACAGGUUAGGGUUGUAAUAUAGUCCAAAUAGAAUGAUAAAUGUUGUUCUUUAUAUUUAGUCACAUAAGUUAAGUUGUAUUUACUUUGGAUUAUUAAUUGUUGAAUUGAGUUGCCUGGAGAUCCUAAACAUUCGAAAACCGUUCCUUUAACAACAUUACGUUACGUUCCAUUAACAACGUUCCGUUUCCGGUACCCGGCAAGUUCUAUUUUCCUGAUUCAUGUUUCGAGAUUUGAUUUGAAGUGUCUGUUGAUUGUUAUUAAAGAUAUUCACCGAUUUCAAGUUGAAUUAUAUUGGGGCAGCAUUUGAAAGGCACAGAAGAAUCUGGCGGCACUUUAACCGCUGUUUACAGACUUUAAUUGCUUGAAAGCACGGACUAGUUGUAACAAUUAACCGAUAUAGGUUGGGGUCAGGACUGGGGUAUUGGGACGCGUUUUUGAAGUCUCCAAUCUCUUAAUGUGCGUGAGAAGUAACCAGGCUACAUAGAAUCGAGCGCA